CUUGAACGCUGGCGGCAGGCCUAACACAUGCAAGUCGAACGGUAACAGGAAGCAGCUUGCUGCUUUGCUGACGAGUGGCGGACGGGUGAGUAAUGUCUGGGAAACUGCCNGAUGGAGGGGGAUAACUACUGGAAACGGUAGCUAAUACCGCAUAACGUCGCAAGACCAAAGAGGGGGACCUUAGGGCCUCUUGCCAUCGGAUGUGCCCAGAUGGGAUUAGCUAGUAGGUGGGGUAACGGCUCACCUAGGCGACGAUCCCUAGCUGGUCUGAGAGGAUGACCAGCCACACUGGAACUGAGACACGGUCCAGACUCCUACGGGAGGCAGCAGUGGGGAAUAUUGCACAAUGGGCGCAAGCCUGAUGCAGCCAUGCCGCGUGUAUGAAGAAGGCCUUCGGGUUGUAAAGUACUUUCAGCGGGGAGGAAGGGAGUAAAGUUAAUACCUUUGCUCAUUCACGUUACCCGCAGAAGAAGCACCGGCUAACUCCGUGCCAGCAGCCGCGGUAAUACGGAGGGUGCAAGCGUAAAUCGGAAUUACUGGGCGUAAAGCGCACGCAGGCGGUUUGUUAAGUCAGAUGUGAAAUCCCCGGGCUCAACCUGGGAACUGCAUCUGAUACUGGCAAGCUUGAGUCUCGUAGAGGGGGGNAGAAUUCCAGGUGUAGCGGUGAAAUGCGUAGAGAUCUGGAGGAAUACCGGUGGCGAAGGCGGCCCCCUGGACGAAGACUGACGCUCAGGUGCGAAAGCGUGGGGAGCAAACAGGAUUAGAUACCCUGGUAGUCCACGCCGUAAACGAUGUCGACUUGGAGGUUGUGCCCUUGAGGCGUGGCUUCCGGAGCUAACGCGUUAAGUCGACCGCCUGGGGAGUACGGCCGCAAGGUUAAAACUCAAAUGAAUUGACGGGGGCCCGCACAAGCGGUGGAGCAUGUGGUUUAAUUCGAUGCAACGCGAAGAACCUUACC
rnacentral:rRNA from 1 species